GACGAAGGGGGCUAGCGUUGUUCGGAAUUACUGGGCGUAAAGCGCGUGUAGGCGGUUGUUCAAGUCAGGUGUGAAAGCCUUGAGCUCAACUCAAGAAAUGCACUUGAUACUGGAUGACUAGAGGACCGGAGAGGAUAGUGGAAUUCCCAGUGUAGUGGUGAAAUACGUAGAGAUUGGGAAGAACACAGUGGCGAAGGCGGCUAUCUGGACGGUUUCUGACGCUAAGACGCGAAAGCGUGGGAGCAAACAGGAUUAGAA
rnacentral:rRNA from 1 species